rnacentral:rRNA from 1 species
UACGAAGGGGGCUAGCGUUGCUCGGAAUCACUGGGCGUAAAGGGUGCGUAGGCGGGUCUUUAAGGCCGGGGUGAAAUCCUGGAGCUCAACUCCAGAACUGCCUUUGAUACUGAAGAUCUUGAGUUCGGGAGAGGUGAGUGGAACUGCGAGUGUAGAGGUGAAAUUCGUAGAUAUUCGCAAGAACACCAGUGGCGAAGGCGGCUCACUGGCCCGAUACUGACGCUGAGGCACGAAAGCGUGGGGAGCAAACAGG